GACGAACGCUGGCGGCGUGCUUAACACAUGCAAGUCGAACGAUGAACCCGGAGCUUGCUCCGGUGGAUUAGUGGCGAACGGGUGAGUAACACGUGAGUAACCUGCCCUUGACUCUGGGAUAACUGCGGGAAACUGUAGCUAAUACCGGAUACGACCCUCGGCGGCAUCGCCAGGGGGUGGAAAGAAUUUCGGUCAAGGAUGGACUCGCGGCCUAUUAGCUAGUUGGUAGGGUAAUGGCCUACCAAGGCGACGAUCAGUAGCUGGUCUGAAAGGAUGAUCAGCCACACUGGGACUGAGACACGGCCCAGACUCCUACGGGAGGCAGCAGUGGGGAAUAUUGGACAAUGGGCGCAAGCCUGAUCCAGCCAUGCCGCGUGAGUGAAGAAGGCCUUAGGGUUGUAAAGCUCUUUUGUGUGGGAAGAUAAUGACUGUACCACAAGAAUAAGUCCCGGCUAACUUCGUGCCAGCCGCCGCGGUAA
rnacentral:rRNA from 1 species